AAACUGAGUCCCAGAAGAAUUGAAUUACUUGCCGGAACACAAAAGCUAGCUAGUUAGUAGUAAACACAGGAUUAGAACUCACCCCUCCUGAUUUCCAGUUGUCGUGGUUAUAAUUUGGUGGAACCCAAGGAGCACCAGUGGCCGAAGGGGAAGCAGGCAAAUAGCAGUGAUGGAAGCAGUUUCACAGGUGCCAGAGGAGGGCCCCUGGAAAAUAACCUCUCCUGCACUCUCCAUACCCAAGUGGCACUCUGAAGGAGACAAGAACCCAGGCAGCAGUGGUGAGAGCUUGGAAUGUAGCCAUGGAGCAGGAUCGGAGAACUGCUUGCCAACCAACCCAGCAGGAGUGGAUAACUGCCUUCAUGCAGACUUUGGUGAAGUGAGAUUAAAAACAGAGAGUUGCCUUCAUCAGGACUCAGGCAGAAGAUAGGAACAACACGCUCCUGAAGGAGGAGGAAGAAGCCAGAAUUUCAGGAAUUCAGCCCUGGGGCAAGAUAAAAAUACUGCAGCCAGGAGCUGAGUGUGCUUUCCUUCUGUGUCCCCCUGGGAUUGUUUGGAACCCAUGGGAGGGUGGAGUUGUCGAUACUGGGUGGGGGGGAAGUGCUGUGGACCCCUGAGGACCUACCCUUUUAACUUUGUUGCCCAAGCACCCCUCAGGACUGGCACGUAGCGCUUGGAGCAGUGCAGGGAGAAGAACAAACCCCCAAGAAGAACUUUAUUUGGACAUUUUUGUUUGUUUUGGGACUUUGAUCAUUAAAGGAUGCUUGCACCUGAGAGUGCCAGGAUGGAAGCCUACAAUGACAGUGUGAGGAGAAGGACACAGCCCCAAGAGGACUUUUACUUGGAUAUUUUUGUUUUGGAUUGAGGGUAUUAUAACUUUAUGUGCUUUGUGUUUAUUGAAAGCCAUACAGCCACUCUGGAAAUGAGUUGUUAUGUUAUUUAUUUUGCAAAUGUGAACUUUGUUAUGUGUUUAUUUUGUGGGGAUUUUCUUGUACUUAAGAAAUGUUAAUGCCUAUUCAGCUACAAGUUGGUUAUGUAAUGAACAUGAAUGAUCUUGGGGCCAAAUAAAUGUUAAUACAAUUUGAAGACCUUCCCCACCAAUAAAUAGGCCUCAUAUGGAGUCCUUUAAGGGAAGCUUGAUUAGGGGAGGCUUGUUUGC